UGGCAUUCCAUAACAAAAUUUUCACAUUAAAUUGUCAAAACUUUAUUAAGAACAAAUUCGGCCGAAACCAAUCAGCUUAGAGGUUGCUGGCUGACAGGAACAAAUGGAUUGAGUUCCAAAUGAAGACGACAGCACCUUCCGGUGUCUGGAGGCAGUGGGUGCGAAGUCCUUCGAGGUAAAUGGAGCAAAUCCUUCAGCAGCUGCAAUAAAAAUCGAAUCAUGUUAACAAAGGAGUGAAAUGAAGCGCAGACAAAAAGCCAACCAACUAAGAUGGCGACCGAUUAAAAGUAAGCGGGCAGAACUGUUGAGCGGCCAUGAAACCCGAAAUCGGAUAGGGGAUACGUGUACACUUACAAAUAUUUAUGGUAAAACCAAUCAAUUCCGCAUUUAAAACGCGGAGACGAUCAUUGUUAACUGAAUUUACAAAAAUGUAAUGUAAUUAACAGUAAAUGUUAAGUGCUUAAAUUA